AUUAUAUUUUUCUUUGUUUCUCUUUUCUCUCAUUAAGACAGGAAUCUGUGCUUUAUGUGCUGUUUCUCAUGGCCUGGAGCUCAUCAAUUGCUUGGUAUCAUGCUGGACUGCAUGCAAGGCAGUUUGCCUGGAUGACUUCAAUACUAUGCCUUUGGUUUACCUGGAAUAUCCUUCGUAAUCUGCACUCACAAGCUAUGAAAACGGCUUGGGGAGGAUUCAGUGUGAAGUUGCUCAGGCAAACAAGAAAGGUGCAUUUUGCACAGCGUAACCAAGAUGUUUCUGUUCAAAUUGUUUUUUCCAAGACAUAUCAAAGUGAAUUGACCCUCUUGGACCUAUGCUGCUGAUUGGUUAAUAUUUGCUUCUUGCAGUUAGUUUGAAAAUAAUUUAAAUACAUUUUAGAACUUAAUUUUAUGUUGUCUCAUCUUUGACAGACUUAGUGUAUGGCAAUGUAUUUAUUUUUCUCAUUCAGUUAUAUAUAUGCAGGUCAAAUCUCAUUAUAGCGAAUACUGAAGUAACAAAAUUUUCAGAGUAUCAAAUAAUUUUUAUUUGCUUAGACAAAAGUUCAUACAACAUCAUGUUUAAUGGAUUUUGCUUUGACGAAAUGUAAAUUUCAGUAUAAUGAACGUUUUUUCAGCCAAUUUAUGGCCACUGGAUAUAACACCGUGAAGCAAUGUAAAUGGAAGAAAAAAAUUAGAAGCGCAUUUGUAUUUCUAUAAAAGAAAAAGUUACAUUUAUUGUCUCAUUUUGAUUCUGUAUUCAUACCUAUAUUUCUAUUA